rnacentral:SRP_RNA from 1 species
GCCAGGUGCGGUGGUGCAUGCCUGUAGUCCCAGCUACUUGAGAGGCUGAGGCAGGAGGAUCACUUGAGCCCAGGAGGUCAAGGCUGCAGUGAGCUGUGAUUGCACCACUGCACUCUAGCCUGGGCGACAGAGUGAGACCCUGUCUCAA